UGCGGGGUGGAGCAGUGGUAGCUCGUUGGGCUCAUAACCCAAAGGUCGUAGGUUCGAAUCCUGCCCCCGCUACCA
rnacentral:tRNA from 2 species